rnacentral:misc_RNA from 1 species
AAACUACAUUGCUUUGCUUACUUAUGAAUUAAAAUUUCUUUUUUCUUUUAAAAUUCCCGUUGAAAACGUUUUAACUUCUAUAAUGGGUUUUCUUGGUACGAGCAAAAUUAGGUCUAAUCUAGUGAGUUAGAAGAUAGCUGUGGUUUAUUAAAAAAAAAAAAAUUCUAAUUUUUUUCACAACUCAGUCUCUCCUUUCUAUGUUCUACAUUGCUUUGCUUACAUGUUGUUUGUGAUUGUGUUGCAAAUUUUGAUUUCCUUUGAAGUUUAACUAUUGAAAAUUUGAGUUUUAUUUGAAUGUUAGACAUACAAUUUGAAUAGAG